CUUAUACGGUGAUGACGUUUGAGAUUGUAAAUUUACGGGCCACUCGUAAGGCCCAUAAGCUUAGAUGUGUCUAUGGUAAGGCCGACCUGACGAGAUAGCUGCCUACUGAGGUUUGAUUGGAUAUGAACAUUGUUUAUUUCAGAAGGAAAAUGUUUGGAGUGGAAUUGUUUGGAAGACAAUCUUGGGACAAUUUUGCUCUUUGGGUCUUUGUGCCAACCAUGCCAGCUAUCGUAGGGUGCUCUGGGAACUUCUUAGAUCUGUUUACUGUAUGUACAGAAAUACACAUUUUGUUUACAUAAAAUCCCUUGUCAUUUCACCACUAGGUUUGAAACCCAGACAGCACGAAGCAUCUUGCCGACGUCAAAAUCAGAUCAACAGACAGGGACAUCAGCCUUCUCUUGGGAAUAGGCCAGAUAUGCCAGAACAAGAAAUGUCUAUAUCUUGGACUGAAAAAGGAUGCUUUGCCCCUGCGGUUGUGAAGAGGAUGCUGUGGAGGUGGCAGCAUGAACGUGUCACACAGACAUUGGCUAAACUACUCGGCUUCUACACUUGCCCUCAGAGUUCACAUAUGGUGAAGUGCACAGGUGUCCAGUCAGGUUCAGACUGAUGCUGG